AUCAAAUAAAGGCAAAGCCAUUGGAAAAUGGUGACGCAAAGCUAUAGGGUCUCAAUCGCAUAUGCGACAGACAGCCAGUUGCUGGC
rnacentral:ncRNA from 1 species